rnacentral:rRNA from 1 species
CGUACACUCCUACGGGAGGCAGCAGUGGGGAAUAUUGGACAAUGGGCGCAAGCCUGAUCCAGCCAUGCCGCGUGAGUGAUGAAGGCCCUAGGGUUGUAAAGCUCUUUCACCGGUGAAGAUAAUGACGGUAACCGGAGAAGAAGCCCCGGCUAACUUCGUGCCAGCAGCCGCGGUAAUACGAAGGGGGCUAGCGUUGUUCGGAUUUACUGGGCGUAAAGCGCACGUAGGCGGACUAUUAAGUCAGGGGUGAAAUCCCGGGGCUCAACCCCGGAACUGCCUUUGAUACUGGUAGUCUUGAGUUCGAGAGAGGUGAGUGGAAUUCCGAGUGUAGAGGUGAAAUUCGUAGAUAUUCGGAGGAACACCAGUGGCGAAGGCGGCUCACUGGCUCGAUACUGACGCUGAGGUGCGAAAGCGUGGGGAGCAAACAGGAGUAGAUACCCCAGUAGUCCCAUG